rnacentral:rRNA from 1 species
UACAGAGGUCUCAAGCGUUGUUCGGAUUCAUUGGGCGUAAAGGGUGCGUAGGCGGCUAAUUAAGUCAGCGGUGAAAUUCCACAGCUCAACUGUGGAACUGCCAUUGAUACUGGUUGGCUUGAGUACAGAUGAGGUAGGCGAAUUGACAGUGUAGCGGUGAAAUGCUUAGAUAUUGUCAAGAACACCUAUUGCGAAGGCAGCUUACUAAGCUGUAACUGACGCUGAGGCACGGAAAGCGUGGGGAUCAAACAGG